AUUGAACGCUGGCGGCAGGCUUAACACAUGCAAGUCGAGCGGGGGAAGGUAGCUUGCUACCGGACCUAGCGGCGGACGGGUGAGUAAUGCUUAGGAAUCUGCCUAUUAGUGGGGGACAACAUCUCGAAAGGGAUGCUAAUACCGCAUACGUCCUACGGGAGAAAGCAGGGGAUCUUCGGACCUUGCGCUAAUAGAUGAGCCUAAGUCGGAUUAGCUAGUUGGUGGGGUAAAGGCCUACCAAGGCGACGAUCUGUAGCGGGUCUGAGAGGAUGAUCCGCCACACUGGGACUGAGACACGGCCCAGACUCCUACGGGAGGCAGCAGCGGGGAAUAUUGGACAAUGGGGGGAACCCUGAUCCAGCCAUGCCGCGUGUGUGAAGAAGGCCUUAUGGUUGUAAAGCACUUUAAGCGAGGAGGAGGCUACUUUAGUCAAUACCUAGAGAUAGUGGACGUUACUCGCAGAAUAAGCACCGGCUAACUCUGUGCCAGCAGCCGCAGUAA
rnacentral:rRNA from 1 species